rnacentral:lncRNA from 1 species
ACGCAUGCCAGGCGAGCGCGCUACUGCUUGAGCCACAUCCCCAGCCCUAGAUCUGGGUUUUGAGAAGAGGGUCACAGGUGGUUUCCCUUGCUUUUCACUUAAAACAUUAAUUUUAAUGACUCCCUACUGCUCUGAAGCUGAGGUCUAAAAGCUAUAAGCUGGGCUGAGGGUGUAGCUGAGCUCUUGCCUAGCAAGUGUGAAAGAAACCCUGGGUUCAAUUCCUAGUACUGAAAAGGAGAAAAGAAAAACGAAAAAACGGAAGGUGACUGGGAAGCUCUUCCAGAACCUUGCCCAAGCCUGCCCUUCGGUCCCAUCCGCCAUUGCUUUCCUUCUUCCUCUACCAUCACACGCCAGCUCCAUCCUAGUCCUGAAUGGGUGGAAGAUUUCAGUUCUCCAGGUCUGGCCAGAGAUCUCUUUCUCUCUUCUGAUUAUUUGGGAAAGACCAAUUAACUACCCACAGUGGCUUAGUCCCCUUUUCUGGGAUUCCUGCUCCCUACUUCCCAGCUUGAUGAUUGCAUCUCCCAUUUUUCCUGUAAUACAGAUGUGUGACCCAACACCUAAAGUAUCUUCUCCCUGUCUGUCUCCACCAGUAGCCUGGGACGAAUUUAGUGCUGAUGACUGAAUAAGGAAAUGAGCCAAUUCUCCCCUGUUCCUAUGUGUUGGGGAGUUUCCUUUUGAGCCAGACCAAAAAGGAGGGCCUCUGGGAUUUUUUGUUUUAUUGCCAGGUUCUUAAUGCCUUCCACACAUCCACCACCCCUUCCCAGUGGAGUGGCCAGAUCUGUGUGACUCCAAAGUCAGAAUUUUUGGUGAAGUGUCAGUUCAUUUUUUUUUUUUGCCUGUUUUAAAAUUGGAGGGUUGGGAUGUAACUCAGUGGUAGAGUGCUUGUCUAGCAUAUGUGAAGUCCUAGGCUUGAUCACCAGCGAUGGAAAAAAUGGUGGGGAGGGGCUGGGGUUGUGGCUCAGUGGUAGAGUGCUUGCCUAGCACAUGGGAAGCUCUGGGUUUGAUCCUCAGCACCACAUAAAAUAAAGAAAGGUAUUGUGUCCAACUACAACUAAAAAAGAUAUUUUAAAAAAGUGUGUGGGGGGAGUAAUUUUCUUACUGAAUUGUGAGAGACCCUUUAUUCCAUGUAUGAGUCCCAGGGUGGAGGACUGAACUCAGGGCCUUGAGCUUACUGGGCAAGCGCUCUUCCUCUGAGCUAAACGCCCACCUCUGGAGCCAUUUGUUUUGUAAAUAUUUUAUUUCAGUCAAAGCUUUUCUUUCUUUCUUUCUUUUCUUCUUCUUCUUUUUUUUUUUAAGUAAGUCUUUCAAGCCUGGGACAUAGCAUGCAUAUCUGUAAUCCCAGUAAUCCCAGCAACUAGGGAGGCUGAGGCAGGAGGAUCACAAAUUUGUUUUUGGUACCAUAGAUUGAACCCAGGGGCACUUAACCACUGAGCCACAUCCCCAGCCCUUUUUAAAUAUUUGAUUUAGAGAUAGGGUCUCACUGAGUUGCUAAAGGCCUCACUAAAUUGCUAAGGCUGGCUUUGAAUCCAUGAUCCUCCUGCCUCAGCCUCCUGAGUUGCUGACAGAAGUACCCUGUGUUUCUCUUUUGCUAAGCAAAAGCAAUAAACCUUUUUCUCAAAACCAUGUCCUUAUUACUGAAUUGGCACUGGGGACAAGGACCAAGCUUUCCACAACAAAUUUGGUGCCCCAGAUGGGACCCAAGAG